rnacentral:tRNA from 1 species
GGCUCGUUGGUCUAGGGGUAUGAUUCUCGCUUUCGGUGAGAGAGGUUCUGGGUUCAAAUCCCAGACGAGCCC